ensembl:lncRNA
CUUUCAGAAACAACAGACAAGAACUGAAAGACCAAAAAAAGGAACAGAAGGAAAAUCAAAGAAAAGCCAAAGCAAACGAAUGCCUCACAGGUCACGAUGCAGGAGACAGAGCUUUGAAAAGAAGUCUGGGCAAAUGCCCUGAGAAGACUCACCCUGCCCAGAGACAGUCCUUCAAAUACUGGAUUUCAUGAUUGGAGCUUCUCUUCCACUGUGGUGGAUUCCACCAGGGUCAUGCUGGCUCUCCAGGGCAUUGGGCAGAGUUCAUGAGGCCAAUGGUGCUUGCUACAGCAGAGAGCUGCGAAGCUGCUCCUUUGCUGACAUAUUUAGAGGAUGAAACCUUGAUAUAGCACUUGGACCCCUGGGGAGUUCAUUGCUACAGCCUAAUGAUGCUUUCAGACUGCUCUGCCAGGAUGCAUCCCUCUACCAAAUGAUUCAAGAGCAAUCUUUAUUCACUUCUGCCACGCUUCUGCUGAGACCCAUGACAGCACAGCACAGAGGGUUGUUUGGCUUUUUUGAUUUUGGUGCUCACGGAUCACACUUGUGGGAUACUGAACAGAAGUGGAUGGCUUCCAAUACCCCUCUGGAUCAGAUAGGUAAGAUGCUCCCAAGGUACCUGGAGGCCAAAGAGAGACAACAUAUUAAGCAGGAGAUAUCUGAGAGGGAUAAGUUGCUACCAGGGACAUCCAAAGGCUAUCCCUUGAGAAACCAAGUCUGACAGAGCUGAUAGGCAUAAACAGUAUUCAGCCAGAAGUUUGACAUCUGGAUAUCAGCCUUUGCAUCUCAUCAGGAAACUGGACCGGCUUUCUGCAAGCAUCCAUGUCUCUCCCUUCAAUACCCAGGUACAUCCUUGCGUGGAGGAAACGGACGGUAACUGUGCUGCCAGGCAGUGCUGUGAGACACUGACAUUGCAGAUGAGCUUCACAUGGCAUGAGACUCUGCACAGUUCAGGUUAGGAAGGACUGCUAGAGCCAUGUUUUCAUACAUGAACCCUAAAUGGAGGCAAUUUCUUUCUGUGUGAGGGAACUCACCAUGCUUAUAGAUAGUUAAGAGGGACAAACUAGGUGCCCAUUGUCAGCUAGAAUUGCAAAUAAGAGAAUAGAUGCUUUAAUUUAAUUACCAGUGCAUGAAAACCAAAAUCAAAAUCUUUGUGGAUGAAAGACAUGGCACCCGGCAGAGACGGACAAAAAAAUCCUUAGAUUUCUAAGUCAAGAUGUCCCUUUAGAGCUGAAACAGGUAUGGAAAUUAUUGCCACUAUAUCAGAUGAAUCUUUCUUCUUGAGGAUAUGAGGUAUCCAGCUAAGCAAGCCUUUAGUAGCAGUAAUUAUUUGACUUAAAUAAGUGCAUGUAUUGAGAAUAUUUCAGAAAAAUGCACUUGAUAUUUAUUCAUGACACCACCAGUAAUAAUAGCAGUUAACAAUUCAGAAACAUUUUUUUCAGAUUCUAAGGAGCUUUAUAAGCACUAAUGAACUAAGGAUUUCCUAGUAAGUAGUGGAGAAUAACCAAAAAUGAAGGAGAGAUUUUAAGUAGCCUGAAUAAGCAAUAGAAAUUAAUGGAAGCUAAAUGAGAAACAAUUCAUUUUUAAUAAAGAAACUAAAAAUAAUAAUGUAAUAUGGUCU